UACGUAGGGUGCAAGCGUUAAUCGGAAUUACUGGGCGUAAAGCGUGCGCAGGCGGUUUUGUAAGUCAGAUGUGAAAUCCCCGGGCUUAACCUGGGAACUGCGUUUGAAACUACAAGGCUAGAGUGUGGCAGAGGGGGGUGGAAUUCCACGUGUAGCAGUGAAAUGCGUAGAGAUGUGGAGGAACACCGGUGGCGAAGGCGGCGAUCUGGGUCGAUACUGACGCUGAGGUGCGAAAGCGUGGGGAGCAAACAGG
rnacentral:rRNA from 1 species